CAGCGACGCCGCGUGUAGGAAGAAGGCCUUCGGGUCGUAAACUACUGUCAAGAGGGAAGAAACUGUUAGGCAUUAAUACGGCCUUUCACUGACGGUACCUCUAGAGGAAGCACCGGCUAACUCCGUGCCAGCAGCCGCGGUAAUACGGAGGGUGCGAGCGUUAAUCGGAAUCACUGGGCGUAAAGCGUGCGUAGGCGGCGCAACAAGUCAGGCGUGAAAGCCCUCGGCUCAACCGAGGAAUUGCGCUUGAAACUGUUGUGCUAGAGUCUCGGAGAGGUUGGCGGAAUUCCAGGUGUAGGAGUGAAAUCCGUAGAUAUCUGGAGGAACACCGGUGGCGAAGGCGGCCAACUGGACGAGUACUGACGCUGAGGUACGAAAGCGUGGGGAGCAAACAGGAUUAGAUACCCUGGUAGUCCACGCUGUAAACGAUGGAUAUUAGGUGUCGGGU
rnacentral:rRNA from 1 species